rnacentral:lncRNA from 1 species
AAUAUCUGGUCCAGUCCAUGCUUUCUUCCACAUUCCGCUAUCCUAUCAUCUCUUCUCGUCUUCAUCGACCUCCCUUCAUUUCUUCAACUCCACAGCCACAAUAACGCAGCAGAAAAUGGGGUUAUCAGUUGGAGUUGGAAUGCUCAAACUAUCCUUCCUUAAGUCUGAUUUCUAGCGGCGGAGGCCUCUGACAUACUGCGACCACCAAGAGCAGUAUUCGUACCCUAGUUAAUCAAUAAUCACCACACUAGUUAAUUGAGAGACAGCUGCCGACAGGAGAGUUGCAUGUCGAUACUGAAAGAAAUCAAAAUUGGAGAAGAAAGAAAGGGACAAGAUUGCAGGGUUAGGAAUUUCGCAGCCUACCAAGAUUGCAGGUUUGCGCCUUCGUAGACCCUCCAAUUACUCUUCUUAAUUGAUGAAUUUUCUCAGGUUGAACGUUAAGAGAAACCAUUACUUUUUCCUCCUACCUAGCUACUAGUAUUAGUAUUAGUAUAUACAACUGACUGAAAUAAAUGACUCUUAACAAAAUUAAAUCGCCAUCAUCCUCAUUGCCUCCUCGACCAAGGUGGAAAACUUGCACUGGCCACUUUAAGAUGUUCUACUUCGUUUCGAUUCAGUACUUUCUUUGUUAGACUUUGACCAUACCCCCGUUGGAACACCAUAGCAAACGAAUGCUGCUCCCGUGCAGUAUUGUUGCUUGCAAGCUUCACGGCCCUCGUUCAUGAAUGAUGCAAAUGUGGGUCUUGAAUCAGAUAUAGACGACCCUUCUUCUGAUAUUAAUCUUUUCUCGAUCAAGUGUCGUUCUUGUAAUAAUGCAUGAAUGGCACCUUCUGAGUAGAUUUGCAUAUCGCUGACUAGUAACACCCAAAGAGUAGAUAGAACCACAGGUGAACGCGCAUGCAACAAUUCGAGUGGAUUACCACUUGGCCCAUAGGAUCCAGUGUAGAAUAGAGUACCAGUUUCACAACCGAGUAACAUACAUGCGGGCCAAGUAUCCAGCUCCUCCCAAUUAAUUUUCUUCACAUCUGCAAUAACCAGUUAACAAGGCUUUUUUUAAAUAAUAAAGUAUUAAUUAUACAACUAAAAGUCUCAAAGAUCAAAAGUAACUUACAGUUUCCGUGCCCAAAAUAUACAAACAACUCCUUAUCUUUGACAGCGUAACUCAAAUCUUUCGGCAUCUCCUUAUCUCCAUAGAUUCUCUGUAAUGCAAUUUGAAUGGUUUCAGGUGUCCAAGGAAUAAAGAGUAUUAAAUGAUUUUACUUGUUAAAACAACUCAAAAGUCAUAUAUAUAUGUAUAUAUUUACCUGUAUGCUUUCGUUAUCCCUAGCCCAUCGGUCAAAGUAGACUUUUACACAGUCAUUAAAUUGCUCAUUCUCUAAGCAGAGCACCUCUAGAGGGUCUAUAAGAGGAGAGCGAACACAGUCGGCCAUUGGUAAGUCUUCAUGACAUAGCGACUUAUUGUCCAGUAUCCAACGGAUACUGCUAAUAGUUGGGACUCGAUAUACCUCUUCUCGUUUUAAUGUUGGUAUGCUCUCCCAAGGGAGCAUCUGAACAUAAGAAAACGUUACAGUGUAGUUCAAGUAGUUUGCAGGUCAUAAAACAAACAUAGAAAAGAUAUAUAGGGCUUGAAAAAGUAGAGCGCACCUGCACCUCCAAAUCCGGCACCAAAAUGAUUGGCUCCCUUCUCAUGUUUGUCUCUCUGUGUUUCUGAACCUUCUGCAGAGCCUUACCCAUCAAUUCGAUUGCUCUCUGUGUUUGACUUAUUGUAUCUGCAUCAGAGGCUUUAUAUCUGCGUUUACCAAUAAUGCAACCCUUCUUCCAAGAUGAUAAUUGUUCAAUAACUUCUUCAGCCUUUAGCUCGCUUCGUGCACUAAGAAGAGCUCUAAGAACAACAGCGUUCACAGUUAUGUUGCAAUCGGAUUUCAGAGCUGUUAUCAGCUUGCUUUCUUCUUCCUCCAAUCCUUGAUGAGGGUUGGAUAGUUCCGCGCAAAGUAGGCUCACCCAUGGUCCAAACCACUCUUCUUCUAAUUUCCUAGAUUUGAAGUAUAAGAUUAUUAUUAAAACCUCAAACACAAUAAGUAAACAAACCACCAAAGAUCAAAUACGUACUAGUACAGAAACUUAGGAGAGGAACUAAAAGAACUCGCAAAUUCACAAAUAAAAAAAGCACAAACUACCUCAGAAACUCGGCAAGUAGACCAUCUAUUGCCGUUCUCGUUUGCAUCUUAAAUUCUGGUUGUGUUUCGUGCAAAAUAGCCACUCUAGCUAUCGAAUCAUCCAUCAAUAUGUGUUUGUAUAAUGGAGCAAUUUCAUCAAUAGGUGUGAGACCCCAUUUCGCCUUCCAUUUAGAUGAACCUUGCCACUUCUUGGACUCACAACACACAUCAUGGGCGGUAGUACUCUCUGAUAUAUAGGGUUAAAGAAGAUGUUUAAUUAGUAAAAUAAAUAUUACCAUUCAAUUGACAAAAAAAGCCGCAUCGUAGAUCAAACUGUUACAUACUUUCCAAUUUGGAGUGCACCGGAAGAAGGGCAACAAGUGGUUCAUUACCAUGCUUUAACCUUGAUACGAGUAACCAUGCAUGUAUCGGAAUGGUUGUAUCAUAUUCCAAUAUAUCUUUCAACCACUUUGCCAAUGGUUGCCCUAUCAUACUUAAGCAUAUUGUCAUGCAAGGCAGCUGGUUGUCAAAAAAUUGUUUGCAUUCUUCGUCAACCCUGCAACACAAGACAUUGAUAAAUUAGAAUAUAAUUUACUAUGAAACUUCCAUCGACAUAAGUGAGAGGGGCAAACCUUUGCUGGUUGAAUGGCUCUAGUUCCUUGGAUGUCGAACUUGUCCUCGAUGAGUCCUGCUACAUAUAAUAAAGUUAUUUACAAUGGUAGAACAUAGGGGGGGGGGGGGGGGGGGGGCUCUUAUGGGCACAUUAUAUGGGGGGUUUUAUUAUAAAAGUGACAAAAUAUAGAAAACCAUACAAAUGGAAAACAAAAUUUGCUGACCCCAAACUCAAGAUUUGCCUAGCUAGUUUUCUUAGAUCUACACACAGAUAUAUAGUAGGUAGAAAGAAAUACAAGAAACUAAUAAGUUGUUGGAAAAUUUUGAAAUGUUAUCUAAGUACCUCCUCAUCAUCAAUAGCAUCACUGAAUUUCUCCUGCAUUGAGCUUGAAAAGAACCGACUACUAUGAGUGCCAACUGAAGAAGCAUGGAAGUAUGCAGCCAAAUGACUUUCUGAGAGAUUAUCUAUCUCGGUAGGCAAACAAGAAAGCUCCUUCCAAGGGCCAAGUAUAUACACAACAGAGAGCAACCUGGAGACCUGUUCCAUUUUCAAUUUCAGUCGAAAGACUUGAGUCAAAGUCCUAUCAUAUAUACAUGGAGGAAUAUUACAAACAGUUGGAUUCACCUUUAUAAAGAGGUUUGGAACCUCGCGACCAAGUAUAAAGGCGUGCUUCAGCCAGGUUAUUGUGUCCAUUAAUAAUUUGAGUUCCCUGCCAGUUGACCUAACAAGAGAUGAUGAAAGAUACUCAAAUCGUUCAUUACAUAAGAGCAUCAGGGAGAAAGAAACAAAGUGCUAUUUCCAGAAGCUUAAUUAAUGACAGAAAAUACCUGAUAACAUUUGCUUCUCUCUUAAAGUAACUCCAGGAUAAGUUGUACAGUACUGUUGCAAUCUGUAUAGCAAAUUUACUCCCAAGAAAUUCCAUGAUCAUUUUACUAAGCAUGGCGGUUGACUGGAGAAGAUCAAAUUUAUCAGUCUUGAACGCGUUUCCCCUGAACAACACAUUGAAACUCUUCCGUAAAAUGUCUUGUUGCAUUUCGUUGUUGUCCUGGAUUCCCUGACACAUUACUAAAUGUACACCAAUGAAAAAAGACAUUUAGAAUGAAUACAAACACUUGAAUACAAAUCAGUAGAUUAGGGUGAGCUCCUAGCAAGUGUGUUUUAGUAUGUAUUGAUAGAGAGUAGCGUACCUUUCCCAUGAAGUAAACUGACAUAAGAUCUCCUGCGACUCGACUCAUAUUUAAGAUUUAUCAAAUCUUUUAAUGAUUUCGAAUUCUUCACAUGAAUACAUGUACAAAUAUAGCAAUUUUUUCCACUACAAAUACAUGAUUUAGAACUCUCAUAUGGAAAACCAAACGUGUCUUUCCACUGUCUCGAUUCCAACUUUUGUAGAGCCGAUGUGUAGAGGGCUUCAGCAUUGUAUGACUGAAGGGAUACAUCCUUGUUUUGACUGGCCGAGAAGUUAUUUAUCAACUCACAUCUUUCCAGAUUAACAGAGACUUCGAGCAUUAAUUUGCAUUUUUUACACGAUUCUUCGAAGUUGCCUUGUUUUAAUAUUUUUUCCGCACUUGCAAGUUCUUCGUCAGAUAAUUGCAAGAACUGUUGACCAUUAAACAGUUUGCCUAAGAGAAUAUUACACAAACAAUCAGCAACUUGUAUGAGCUUAUGUGGUGUAUUUAUAAAUAAGAUAUGAGUUCAAUACCUAGAACACAAGAAAAUGAUACCCUGAAUAACGACAACUUCAUCUGAUCGGCAACAGCUUUUCCCUUCCAUAAACACUUUUUUGCUUCUUUAUCAUUCCCAACCAUUUCCCACACUAUCCCAAUCU